UUGACUUUUGCUGAUGGAGCCUCUCUGAAGGGCAAAUUCAAAGUACAGCUGGGUGCUGCAGCACUGGAGUGCGAACUUGUGGCUGUGGUUAUGAAGGAGCCUCGUCAGCUAUGCCUUUAGCCCCUGGUGAAGCAGUGCCAGUCACACUUUGCCAGUCAAACGGAGAGGCAGCAGUAGUAAGACCAGACCAAAUCAAACCAAACCAAGCAAACCACGGGGAAUGGAGGACCUGAUGAUUGAUUUAGCAUCUUUGGCAUCCGGCCACUGCUCUGCUUGGCCAUACUGCUGCCUUCACCCUCAGCUGUUGCAACUCUUUUGGCCACUUUGUGUAACUGCCCUGCCAAGCCCUGCUUCCUGGCUGUCCAAAGAAAGAAGUGUUUCCUACAGGAGAUCACAACAAAAGGAUGAAAUCUGGGGUGCAGGGGAAGGGUAGCUUCUGAAGCUGGAAAAUAAAGAAGUAAGGAAGGGAGACUGUGGAAUUUACCAGGGAGGGAAACUAAUAUUUCCUUUCAUAUAAGUUGGUACUAUUCUGGCUUUUUACCAUGAUCAUAUAUUAUAUUCAAAAUAAAGCUCUUGUUUUUGAAACAAAAAAAUAUAAACAAAGGAAGGAAGGAUGUUCAUUUAUUUAGAUAAUAGAUACCUAGUGAACCCCUAGUAGACCUUGUACUGGGUCCUGGGGACACUGGUGACCAGGUUCCAUUCCUGAUCUCCUGGAGCAGGGGACACGAAAAGACAUUAAGCAAAUAAUUACACAUCUUUUUACAUCAGUACAAAUGUUGGGACUUUGCAAGAGUUCCACCCUGAAAGCUUCUGUUUUCACUGAAAGAGAGGAGGCAAGGUCAUUUGUUCAUAAAAGCAAUGGAAUUGAGUAGGGGACUUGAAAGAAAUGAUGAGGCUAGGAAAAGCAGCUAUAGGAAAGGGGGCACCAGUCAGACUAAGAAUAUGUAACCAGAGCACAGCUGUGCAUACUUUGCUUGAAUGUCUCCAAGUUCAAAUCCAAGAACUUGAUAUUUUAGGUUGAUUCUAUGUGUAACCUAUUUGUUUUUAAAGAGUAGAGUCUUUUUCUUCCAGCAUGUGUUAGUUAGCCCUGUCUUUAUCACAUCACCACCACCAAUUGUCAUUUGCAGAAGUAUCUUCAACUCAUCAUAAAUUUACUAGUAAUAGCUAACUCAUGUCUAUAGAACUGUUAAGUGACAAGAUAAUAUUUAGAUUAAAAGCUAUAGUUGCAUUCUUAUUAGAGACUUAAUCAGAUUUUAACAUGCUCCUCACAGGGGCCAUUUAGCCCUAUUCUGCUGGGCUUUGGCAAGCACUGAAUGAUUGCCCUCCUAGGGCAGAGGUACUGCAGCCCUGGUUAAGCAUUGAAAAGAUGAUAUUACCAAUAAGUUGACUCUAAUUGUAAACAACAUAUUUAAACAAUUACAUCUUAAUUAAAUUCUUAUAAAUUAUAAGUGCCUCAGAACUUUCUUUCUUAAUCUCAAAUGCAUGUUUCUUAAAAUCAUUCACUAUUUUAUGAGAAUAUAUUUGCUGAAUAUUAGAAAAAAGAGUUAAAAAUAAAAGGCAUUUCUAAAA
rnacentral:lncRNA from 1 species